rnacentral:tRNA from 1 species
GUUAUUUUGGCAGAAUAGUGCUAUAGAUUUAGAAUCUGUAUAUGUGAUAUAAAUUACAAAUAAUA